rnacentral:rRNA from 1 species
UGGGGGAUAUUGCACAAUGGGCGAAAGCCUGAUGCAGCGAAGCCGCGUGGGGGAUGAAGGCCUUCGGGUUGUAAACUUCUUUUGCUCUGAACAAGGCGCACCAUGGGGUGUGUUGAGUGUAGGGGUUGAUUAGCGCCGGCUAACUACGUGCCAGCAGCCGCGGUAAUACGUAGGGCGCGAGCGUUGUCCGGAAUUAUUGGGCGUAAAGGGCUUGUAGGUGGCUGGUUGCGUCUGUCGUGAAAGCUCAUGGCUUAACUGUGGGUUUGCGGUGGGUACGGGCUGGCUUGAGUGCAGUAGUGGAGGCUGGAAUUCCAGGUGUAGCGGUGGAAUGCGCAGAUAUCAGGAGGAAUACCGGUGGCGAAGGCGGGUCUCUGGGCUGUUACUGACACUGAGGAGCGAAAGCAUGGGGAGCGAACAGG